UGGCAGGUUUGCCUGUUUUAAUGUUUCAUUGGGAGAUCGAGCUUCACUGAAAUUAUGUUGUUCACGUGGAGUAUCGAGUACUGCCCGAGUGGUUUCUCGUGGCUUUAAGAGCCAAGACUGACAAAGUCUACAGCUGGAUUGCUGGCUUGAUCCACUGGCGUGUAUUGCCCUGGUGACUGACUGAAUGUCGUCGCGGUUUUCCCCCUGCCGUGACUGUUGGGAGUGUGUGCCUGUCUCGUCGGUUGGGGUGUGGACCCCCCCCCCCCUUCCUUGAUGUAACUGGUUAAUGCGGCGGGCUGCUGUUUAGUUUAGGUAGACUGAACUGGUUAGAUGCGCCGAGUGAUUGUGUGUGCGUAACGUUUGGAGUGGUUGUGUGAGUGGGGUUGCAGGACUGUUUAUGUAUUUUUGUUUUGAGCGAGACUGUGCUCUUGAACGAGCGAACGACCCGUCCUGUAUUUUGGUUUUGUGUUUUGUUUGUUAUUUUCUGAUUAUAUGUAAAUUACCACACUGGCCCAGUCUCUUCCCACUGCCUGGAUAACCGGCUCCUUGAGCUUCCUGGUUGCAGUGCCGUAGUGUAAGGUGCCCUCUUGGUGCCAUAGCGUGAAUUGGUUGCAGUCUCAACAGUGUGGGUUGAUGUGGGUUUCCUUAGCUAUAACUAACGUGUUUGCUGUGUAUUGCGGUGAUAACUUUGCUCUGUAUUUUAUUGGCAUCUCAAGGGGUGGACGGACAUUCCGAGGUCAGUUGGGAUAAUGGGAUCAGUGAUGGUGUGGAACCUGUUUUAUCUGUUUGUUUUGUUUUAAGACGUGUCUCAAAUCAUCUGUCGCAAUGCUUGUUUGUUACACCUGAACCCUUUUACAAAGAGAAUAUUAAGAACGUGAAA